rnacentral:rRNA from 1 species
AGUGAACGCUGGCGGUAGGCCUAACACAUGCAAGUCGAACGGCAGCACAGUAAGAGCUUGCUCUUACGGGUGGCGAGUGGCGGACGGGUGAGGAAUACAUCGGAAUCUACUUUUUCGUGGGGGAUAACGUAGGGAAACUUACGCUAAUACCGCAUACGACCUACGGGUGAAAGCAGGGGAUCUUCGGACCUUGCGCGAAUGAAUGAGCCGAUGUCGGAUUAGCUAGUUGGCGGGGUAAAGGCCCACCAAGGCGACGAUCCGUAGCUGGUCUGAGAGGAUGAUGAGCCACACUGGAACUGAGACACGGUCCAGACUCCUACGGGAGGCAGCAGUGUGGAAUAUUGGACAAUGGGCGCAAGCCUGAUCCAGCCAUACCGCGUGGGUGAAGAAGGCCUUCGGGUUGUAAAGCCCUUUUGUUGGGAAAGAAAAGCAGCAGGUUAAUACCCCGCUGUUCUGACGGUACCCAAAGAAUAAGCACCGGCUAGCUUCGUG